rnacentral:rRNA from 1 species
GACGAACGCUGGCGGCGUGCCUAAUACAUGCAAGUCGAACGCAGUGGGGACGGGUGAGUAACACGUGGGUAACCUCCCAUCAGAGGGGAUAACACUUGGAAACAGGUGCUAAACCGAUACUGAUGGAUGGACCCGCGGUGCAUUAGCUAGUUGGUGAGGUAACGGCUCACCAAGGCCACGAUGCAUAGCCGGCCGGGGAGGGUGAUGGGGCACACUGGGACUGGGAACCGGGCCAAGAUCCUACGGGAGGCAGCAGUAGGGAAUCUUCGGCAAUGGAGGGAAGUAUGACCGAGCAAAGCCGCGUGAGUGGAGAAGGUUUUCGGAUCGUAAAGCUCUGUUGUAAGGGAAGCGGUAUCUUACCAGAAAGGGACGGCUAACUACGUGCCAGCAGCCGCGGUAAUAC